rnacentral:rRNA from 1 species
GUGGAUUAGAUACCCUGGUAGUCCACGCCCUAAACGAUGAAUACUCGCUGUUAGCGAUAUACAGUUAGCGGCUAAGCGAAAGCGUUAAGUAUUCCACCUGGGGAGUACGCCCGCAAGGGUGAAACUCAAAGGAAUUGACGGGGGCCCGCACAAGCGGAGGAGCAUGUGGUUUAAUUCGAUGAUACGCGAGGAACCUUACCCGGGCUUGAAAGUUAGUGAAUGAUUUAGAGAUAGAUCAGUCCUUCGGGACACGAAACUAGGUGCUGCAUGGCCGUCGUCAACU